rnacentral:rRNA from 1 species
GAGUUUGAUCCUGGCUCAGAUUGAACGCUGGCGGAAUGCUUUACACAUGCAAGUCGAACGGCAGCACGGGAGCUUGCUCCUGGUGGCGAGUGGCGAACGGGUGAGUAAUGCGUCGGAACGUACCGAGUAAUGGGGGAUAACGCAGCGAAAGCUGUGCUAAUACCGCAUACGCCCUGAGGGGGAAAGUGGGGGAUCGCAAGACCUCACGUUAUUCGAGCGGCCGACGUCUGAUUAGCUAGUUGGUGGGGUAAUGGCCUACCAAGGCGACGAUCAGUAGCGGGUCUGAGAGGAUGAUCCGCCACACUGGAACUGAGACACGGUCCAGACUCCUACGGGAGGCAGCAGUGGGGAAUUUUGGACAAUGGGGGCAACCCUGAUCCAGCCAUUCCGCGUGAGUGAAGAAGGCCUUCGGGUUGUAAAGCUCUUUCAGCGGGAACGAAACGGUACGCUCUAACAUAGCGUGCUAAUGACGGUACCCGCAGAAGAAGCACCGGCUAACUACGUGCCAGCAGCCGCGGUAAUACGUAGGGUGCGAGCGUUAAUCGGAAUUACUGGGCGUAAAGCGUGCGCAGGCGGACUGUUAAGCAAGAUGUGAAAUCCCCGGGCUUAACCUGGGAAUGGCAUUUUGAACUGGCAGUCUAGAGUGUGUCAGAGGGGGGUGGAAUUCCACGUGUAGCAGUGAAAUGCGUAGAUAUGUGGAGGAACACCAAUGGCGAAGGCAGCCCCCUGGGAUAACACUGACGCUCAUGUACGAAAACGUGGGUAGCAAACAGGAUUAGAUACCCUGGUAGUCG